rnacentral:rRNA from 1 species
GAUGAACGCUGGCGGCGUGCUUAAUACAUGCAAGUCGAACGAACAGAUGAGGAGCUUGCUGCUCGGACGUUAGCGGCAGACGUGUGUGUAACACGUGGAUAAUCUACCUAUAUGACGGGGAUAACUUCGGGAAACCGGCGCUAAUACGGUAGAAUAUAUUGAACCAUAUGGUGGAAUAGUGUAAGACGGUGUUUCUGUAAGGUAUAGAGGGAUCCGCGCCGGAUUAGCUGGUUGUGAGGGUAAAGGGUUAUCACGGCAACGAUGCGUAAACGACGUGAGAGAGGGAUCGGCCACACUGGAACUGGGACAGCGUCCAUGCGCCUGAGGUAGGCAGCAGUAGGGAACCGUCCGCAGUGGGCGAGAGCCUGACGGAGCAGCGCCGCGUGAGUGGUGACGAUCUUGGGAUCGUGAAACUCUGUUAUUGGGGAAGAACAAAUGUGUAAGUAACUGUGCACGUCGUGACGGUACCUAGUCAGAAAGCCACGGCUAACUACGUG